GAUGAACGCUGGCGGCGUGCCUAAUACAUGCAAGUCGAGCGAACAGACGAGGAGCUUGCUCCUCUGACGUUAGCGGCGGACGGGUGAGUAACACGUGGAUAACUUACCUAUAAGACUGGGAUAACUUCGGGAAACCGGUGCUAAUACCGGAUAAUAUAUUGAACCGCAUGGUUCCAUAGUGAAAGACGGUUUUGCUGUCACUUGUAGAUGGAUCCGCGCCGCAUUAGCUAGUUGGUAAGGUAACGGCUUACCAAGGCAACGAUGCGUAGCCGAUCUGAGAGGGUGAUCAGCCACACUGGAACUGAGACACGGUCCAGACUCCUACGGGAGGCAGCAGUAGGGAAUCUUGCGCAAUGGGCGAAAGCCUGAUCGAGCAACGCCGCGUGAGUGAUGAAGGCCUUCGGGUCGUAAAACUCUGUUAUUAGGAAAGAACAACUGUGUAAGUAACUAUGCACGGCAUGACGGUACCGGAUCAGAAAGCACCGGCUAACUACGUG
rnacentral:rRNA from 1 species